CCAAGGCUUUGGAGAGGCUGACAUCACUGAGAGGGAAGGAUGCACACACCCCAAAAUGUCUGCUUCUACUCAGGAGGAUGAAGCUGCUCACCAAGGCCUGCCUUCCUCUGCUUGGAGCCUGAUGAAUAUUCCUACAGCUCCUCCGAGGGAAGGGGAGAACAAGGAAAUAGGGGCUGAAAGUGUAGAUCCCUGCUAGUGGGUUUGUUUCUACAUGACAAAACAUAACAGGAGACAUGCCUGAAUAACAGCAGUGAGUGUUGGA